rnacentral:lncRNA from 1 species
GGUCAGCAUCCAUUACUGGUUUAUAAGAGGGAAUUUUGCAUGAUAUAACGGCCCAGAAGCGAUCCAUCAAGCAAUCGGACGGCUGAUGACGUUCCUGACUUUGAAUAGGAGAUCUUUUACAUGAUCCGACGGUCAGAACUUCAUUAGAACUUAGAUCCAAUGGUUGACAUUCGAUCCGACUUUGAUUUGGAUUAAAAUGAGAAUUUUUGGGC